UACGUAGGGGGCUAGCGUUGUCCGGAAUCAUUGGGCGUAAAGCGCGUGUAGGCGGCUCGGUAAGUCCGCUGUGAAAGUCGGGGGCUCAACCCUCGAAUGCCGGUGGAUACUGUCGGGCUUGAGUACGGAAGAGGCGAGUGGAAUUCCUGGUGUAGCGGUGAAAUGCGCAGAUAUCAGGAGGAACACCAAUUGCGAAGGCAGCUCGCUGGGACGUUACUGACGCUGAGACGCGAAAGCGUGGGGAGCAAACAGG
rnacentral:rRNA from 1 species